rnacentral:rRNA from 1 species
AACGAACGCUGGCGGCGUGCUUAACACAUGCAAGUCGAACGCGAAAGGGACUUCGGUCCUGAGUAAAGUGGCGCACGGGUGAGUAACGCGUAGAUAACCUAUCUUCAUGUCUGGAAUAAUACGCCGAAAGGGGUACUAAUACCGGAUACUCUUGCUUUAUAUAAGUUUUGCAAGCAAAGGUGGCCUCUGCAUAUGCUACUGCAUGAAGAGGGGUCUGCGUACCAUUAGCUAGUAGGUGGGGUAAUGGCCUACCUAGGCGACGAUGGUUAGCGGGUCUGCAGGGAGGAUCCGCCACACUGGCACUGGAACACGGGCCAGACUCCUACGGGAGGCAGCAGUGAGGAAUAUUGCGCAAUGGGCGAAAGCCUGACGCAGCAACGCCGCGUGGGUGAAGAAGGCCUUCGGGUCGUAAAACCCUGUCAGAUGGGAAGAAACCUGCUUAAAGCAGCUGACGGUACCAUCAGAGGAAGCACCGGCUAACUCCGUGCCAGCCGCCGCGGUAAUAC